GUGAGGGCUGCACUGGGCGUGGCCCCAACGGGCGCUUCCAGGCCUGGGAAGGUUUCCCCUGGGGGCUUCAGGCCUUUCCCCCCAGCUCACCCUGGCACCCUGGCACCCUGGCAGCCUUGCCCUGCUGCUCUCUGCCCCAGCCCCCUCCCUAGGCCACCGCCCCUCAGAGUCUUGCCCUUCCCCACCGUUGACAAUGACACCCCCGGCCGGGCCCCCCCUCCAGAAAGCCCAGGAAACUUCUUAGCUAAGUACAAUGUUUCAACUCCCAGCACACCACACACCCUUUGCUGCAGGCCUCCCGGGGCAGAGGGAAGGGCAGCCCAGGCCCCGCCCCUUCACCCGGGCACAGAGGCCCUGGUCUCCGCCCUAUCCUUGGGCUGCGUUUCUGCUCUGACUUUCUCACAGUCACUAACACUUACAAAUUUAGGUGAAUCUGGCAGAGCAGGAAGGAGGGAAGCAACCACCCAAGAGACUGAUUUUCAAAGGGUGAAUCCCUGGGAGUUCCUGUCCUGGCUCAGCGCACUGCCUGCGUCUGGGCCUCUGCUAACGGACCCACCAACUCCAGUCAUCACUGAAGAUCUGACUUCAGCGUCUCCGCCUCCAGGAAGACUUCCUUCAGCUUCAGGGUGUCUCAAGUGUCCCCCUGGCCUUUCCCAUGCUGCUCCCUUGGGAAGCACUCGCCCAUGUGUGCCUCUGGCCCCAUCAGCUCGGGUCUUUCUGAGGGCAAGUCUGUGUCGUCUGUGUCCUUGACCCCUGGCAGGUCUGCCGCUGUGAAUGAAGCUCUCAGGUGUGGCGGGACAGCCAGGCUGGGGCAGGUGGGAGGGGGGACAAGUCGGGGUUUCUUCCCUUCAGACCUGGGCAGAGUGUCUCCCAUCUGCCAUAAGAAUUAGAGCUGCUCGUGUGAACCCACGUACCUGCAGAGUCGUAGUCACAGGUGACGAAGCUGGGGCUCAUCGGGACAAAGUGGCUCCAAUCACAACUGGCCACUAAGGUCUGCCUCCGGGGGCUGCUUUGUCUGAGACUCAGCUGCCCGGCCCAGGUAUGUUCUGCUCUGAGGCAGGGGACUGAACAAGCUGACCUCUCAUGGGCCUCCAGGUCAGGAUGGGAGCCUUCCAGUGACACAAGCUGAGGCUCCAACCAGGUCUCGGCCCCCUGACCUGCUCACCCACAAGGCAAGUGCCAGCCCUCCCACCAGCCCAACCAGCUCCCAGUUCAGCUGCAGAAACGGCCAAACGUCUCUCUGGAACCCAAACAGGAAGCUGGGGAGAAGGGGGCCAACGGCCGGGACCUCUGAGGCUCCUCCAGGAAACAUGUGGGGAGGGAGAUGGGUGGCCGGGGCAAGGUCAGGCCUGCUCACCCCAUAACCCCCACCCCAGGAGCCCCCCGCAAGCACUGAGAAUCCCCACCUCAUCUCCCUGCUGGCAGGGGACCUGGGAGGGCCUGGGGAAAACAGUUGUCCUCUUACAGAAGACGCUAGGGGGAGGGUUAGCUUUCAGAACCAUCACUCCCGGGUGAAUUUUUUUCCAUAUAUUUUAUUUUUUGCUUUUUUAGGGCCGCACCUGUGGCAUAGGGAAGUUCCCAAGCUAGGGGUUGAAUCAGAGCUACAGCUGCCAGCCUACAACACAGCCACAGCAACUCGGGAUCCUUAACACACUGAGUGAGGCCAGGGAUGUAACCCACGUCCUCAUGGAUCCUAGUUGGGUUCAUUACCGCUGAGCCAUGAUGGGAACUCUCCAUAGAUUUUAUUUUUUUGUAUUAUUUAUUUAUUUCCUGGCCGUCCCCUUGACACAUGGAAGUUCCCAGGCCGGGGAUCAAACCCACGCCACAGCAGUGACCAAGCCACUGCAGUGACAACACCAGAUCCUUAACCCACGGCGCCACAAGGGAAUCUUCCUUUUUUUUUUUUUUUUUUUUAAGAACAGUUUUAGAUUCAUAGCGAAACUGAGCGGCAAAUACAGAGUACCCAUAUACCCCCUGCCCCACACACGCCUAGACUCCCCCACGAUCAACAUCCCCACCCAGCGUGGUACGUUUUUUUUCCAAUUGAUGAACCUACAUGAAGCAUCAUUAUCACCCAAGGCCCAUUAGGGUUCACUGUUGGUGUUGGACAUUCCAUGGGUUUGGACAAAUGUAUGAUGACAGGUAUCCACCGUUAGAGGAUUAUCCAGACUAUUGUCACUACCCUAAAAGUCCUCUGAGCUCUGCCUCUGUGCUCACCCUACUCCCCAGCCCAGCCCUGGCAACCUUUAAUCUUUGUACUGCCUGCAGAGUUUGACCAUUUCCAGAAUGUCAUAGUUGGAAUCAUAGAGUCCGUAGCCUUUUUUCAGAUGGGCUUCUUUCACUUAGUAACACGCAGUGCAUUUCCUCCCUGUCUUUUUAUAGUUUGUUGUUCAUUCACUUUAGCACUGAAUAAUAUCCCAUUGUCUGGAUGUAUCGGAGUUUAUGUCUCCAUUUACCUACUGAAGAACAUCUUGGCUGCUUUCAGGUUGUGGCAGUUGCCAAUAAAGCUGCUAUAAGCAUC
rnacentral:lncRNA from 1 species